AUAUUAAUUACACCUUCCUGGCCAUGAUUACCUUGGGAUGUCCACACCCUCCAUCUGUCUCACCAUCCCCGCAAUUUAGUGAACCAACAUAUGGUUUGGCAUUCAUACCACCAUCAUUUAACUAUUUGAGUUUUCCGCAAUAUCCCCCUUGUCCGUCGCGGGGGGGUUACCCCACCUGGGUUGCCUGAUACCACACUUCACCACCUAAUUAUGGAUUGGUUCUCUUGAGAAAGCGGUUUCACCGCGAAACUAGUCGAGGCAUAGACCAGUCUAUAUGUUUGCAACAACAAAAUUGC